GAAAAGUGUUGGGACAUAGAAAAGUGUAGGGCCAUAGAAAAGUGUUGGGACAUAGAAAAGUGUUGGGUCAUAGAAAAGUGUUGGGUCAUAGAAAAGUGUUGGGACAUAGAAAAGUGUUGGGACAUAGAAAAGUGUUGGGUCAUAGAAAAGUGUGGGGCCAUAGAAAAGUGUAAGGUCAUAGAAAAGUGUGGGGACAUAGAAAAGUGUGGGGACAUAGAAAAGUGUGGGGCCACAGAAAAGUGUGUGUUUCUCCAUCGUCAGAAAAGUCAAG